GAUGAACGCUGACAGAAUGCUUAACACAUGCAAGUCGACUCGAGUCUUCGGACUUGGGUGGCGCACGGGUGAGUAACGCGUAAAGAACUUGCCUCUUAGACCGGGACAACAUCUGGAAACGGAUGCUAAUACCGGAUAUUAUGGUUUUUUCGCAUGGAGGAAUCAUGAAAGCUAGAUGCGCUAAGAGAGAGCUUUGCGUCCCAUUAGCUGGUUGGUGAGGUAACGGCCCACCAAGGCAAUGAUGGGUAGCCGGCCUGAGAGGGUGAACGGCCACAAGGGGACUGAGACACGGCCCUUACUCCUACGGGAGGCAGCAGUGGGGAAUAUUGGACAAUGGACCGCAAGUCUGAUCCAGCAAUUCUGUGUGCACGAUGACGUUUUUCGGAAUGUAAAGUGCUUUCAGUCGGGAAGAAGUCAGUGACGGUACCGACAGAAGAAGCGACGGCUAAAUACGUGCCAGCAGCCGCGGUAAUACGUAUGUCGCAAGCGUUAUCCGGAUUUAUUGGGCGUAAAGCGCGUCUAGGCGGCAAGGAAAGUCUGAUGUGUAAAUGCGGAGCUCAACUCCGUAUGGCGUUGGAAACUGCCUUACUAGAGUACUGGAGAGGUAGGCGGAACUACAAGUGUAGAGGUGAAAUUCGUAGAUAUUUGUAGGAAUGCCGAUGGGGAAGCCAGCCUACUGGACAGAUACUGACGCUGAAAGCGCGAAAGCGUGGGGUAGCAAACAGG
rnacentral:rRNA from 1 species